rnacentral:misc_RNA from 1 species
AAUCUCCCAGGCCAUGGUUUAGUCUUUUUUGUAUUCGUGUCUGAGGGUAUGGAAAGAGCCCAGAGGCAUGAAGCACACCUAGCGUCCAAGUCCAAGGCCACUGAUUUGAUGUUUUUGUUCAUCUCUCUCUGAAUAUCUCUCUGAAUAUUUCUUGAUGAAAUAAAUCUAGGGUUGUCUUCGGUACAUGUGCAUCCAUUGCUAUUACAUUUUAAAGAAUAUUAG